rnacentral:rRNA from 1 species
UACGUAGGCAGCAAGCGUUGUUCGGAGUUACUGGGCGUAAAGGGUGUGUAGGCGGUUGUUUAAGUUUGGUGUGAAAUCUCCCGGCUCAACUGGGAGGGUGCGCCGAAUACUGAAUGACUAGAGUGCGGGAGAGGAAAGUGGAAUUCCUGGUGUAGCGGUGAAAUGCGUAGAUAUCAGGAGGAACACCGGUGGUGUAGACGGCUUUCUGGACCGUAACUGACGCUGAGACACGAAAGCGUGGGGAGCGAACAGG